rnacentral:rRNA from 1 species
AGCGAACGCUGGCGGCAGGCCUAACACAUGCAAGUCGAACGAACCUUUCGGGGUUAGUGGCGGACGGGUGAGUAACACGUGGGAACGUGCCUUUAGGUUCGGAAUAACUCAGGGAAACUUGUGCUAAUACCGAAUGUGCUCUUCGGGGGAAAGAUUAAUCGCCUUUAGAGCGGCCCGCGUCUGAUUAGCUAGUUGGUUGAGGUAAUGGCUCACCAAGGCGACGAUCAGUAGCUGGUCUGAGAGGAUGAUCAGCCACAUUGGGACUGAGACACGGCCCAAACUCCUACGGGAGGCGGCAGUGGGGAAUCUUGCGCAAUGGGCGAAAGCCUGACGCAGCCAUGCCGCGUGAAUGAUGAAGGUCUUAGGAUUGUAAAAUUCUUUCACCGGGGACGAUAAUGACGGUACCCGGAGAAGAAGCCCCGGCUAACUUCGUG